GCGUCAUUAUCGUCUUCUUAAUUUCAUAUGCUGUGCUACCUAAAGCACGAUCUGAAAAUGAUUGUAAGUUAUCCCUCUUCAUGGCGGUGUUCUUCCACCUAUAAAAAGGGUAAGCCAACUGAUGAAUCCAUAUUUAUAAUAUUCUAUUUGGAACCGAUAUAGUUUAUAGGGGAAUUGUAUGUUCAUUAACACUUUCGUUCAUGCUGCUGCGCAAGAAUUUGCGUACACCUGCAUCUGUAACUUUUAGAAGCUACCACAUAUAGGUAUUUAGAACAUAUGUGAAGACGACCGAGAGACUUGCAUCAACAGCUUCGUGGUUAGACAAGUCUGGAGACCGCAAAAAGGCUUACCGGAAAAGUAUAGGGC
rnacentral:lncRNA from 1 species